rnacentral:rRNA from 1 species
AGCAGUAGCCGCGGUAAUACGUAGGGUGCGAGCGUUAAUCGGAAUUACUGGGCGUAAAGCGUGCGCAGGCGGUUCGUUAAGACAGAUGUGAAAUCCCCGGGCUUAACCUGGGAACUGCAUUUGUGACUGGCGAGCUAGAGUAUGGCAGAGGGGGGUAGAAUUCCACGUGUAGCAGUGAAAUGCGUAGAGAUGUGGAGGAAUACCGAUGGCGAAGGCAGCCCCCUGGGCCAAUGCUGACGCUCAUGCACGAAAGCGUGGGGAGCAAACAGGAUUAGAUACCCCGGUAGUCCCUGUCUCUUAUAC